rnacentral:rRNA from 1 species
GGUUAAGUGACUAAGCGUACACGGUGGAUGCCUUGGCAGUCAGAGGCGAUGAAAGACGUAGUAACUUGCGAUAAGCCCAGAUUAGGUAGUAACAACCAUUUGAGUCUGGGAUUUCUGAAUGGGGAAACCCACGUGCAUAAGCACGUAUCCUUACCUGAAUACAUAGGGUAAGGAGGCGAACCGGGGGAACUGAAACAUCUAAGUACCCCGAGGAAAAGAAAUCAACCGAGAUUCCGAAAGUAGCGGCGAGCGAAAUUGGACUAGCCCUUAAGCUUUACACGCGUUAGACGAACGGUCUGGAAAGUCCGACGAUACAGGGUGAUAGUCCCGUAGUUGACGACGUGUGUUCAGUGAAAUCGAGUAGGGCGGGACACGUGAUAUCCUGUCUGAAUAUGGGGGGACCAUCCUCCAAGGCUAAAUACUACUGACUGACCGAUAGUGAACCAGUACCGUGAGGGAAAGGCGAAAAGAACCCCUGUGAGGGGAGUGAAAUAGAACCUGAAACCGUGUACGUACAAGCAGUAGGAGCAGGCUUUGUCCUGUGACUGCGUACCUUUUGUAUAAUGGGUCAGCGACUUAUAUUCAGUGGCAAGGUUAACCAUCUAGGGGAGCCGUAGGGAAACCGAGUCUUAACUGGGCGUUCAGUCUCUGGAUAUAGACCCGAAACCAGGUGAUCUAGCCAUGGGCAGGUUGAAGGUUGAGUAACAUCAACUGGAGGACCGAACCGACUAAUGUUGAAAAAUUAGCGGAUGACUUGUGGCUAGGGGUGAAAGGCCAAUCAAACCUGGAGAUAGCUGGUUCUCCCCGAAAGCUAUUUAGGUAGCGCCUCGGACGAAUACUACUGGGGGUAGAGCACUGUUAAGGCUAGGGGGUCAUCCCGACUUACCAACCCUUUGCAAACUCCGAAUACCAGUAAGUACUAUCCGGGAGACACACGGCGGGUGCUAACGUCCGUCGUGGAGAGGGAAACAACCCAGACCGCCAGCUAAGGUCCCAAAUUACUACUAAGUGGGAAACGAUGUGGGAAGGCUCAGACAGCCAGGAUGUUGGCUUAGAAGCAGCCAUCAUUUAAAGAAAGCGUAAUAGCUCACUGGUCGAGUCGGCCUGCGCGGAAGAUGUAACGGGGCUAAGUAGUAAACCGAAGCUGCGGCAAUACUCUUUGAGUAUUGGGUAGGGGAGCGUUCUGUAAGCGGUUGAAGGUGUGUGGUAACGCAUGCUGGACGUAUCAGAAGUGCGAAUGCUGACAUGAGUAACGAUAAAGGGGGUGAAAAACCUCCUCGCCGGAAGACCAAGGGUUCCUGUCCAACGUUAAUCGGGGCAGGGUAAGUCGACCCCUAAGGCGAGGCCGAAAGGCGUAGUCGAUGGGAAACGGGUUAAUAUUCCCGUACUUCUUACAAUUGCGAUGGGGGGACGGAGAAGGCUAGGUGGGCCUGGCGACGGUUGUCCAGGUUCAAGUGCGUAGGCUUAAGAGUUAGGUAAAUCCGGCUCUUUCUAAG